rnacentral:rRNA from 1 species
CCUACGGGUGGCAGCAGUGAGGAAUAUUGGUCAAUGGGCGCGAGCCUGACCCAGCCAAGUAGCGUGAAGGAUGACUGCCCUACGGGUUGUAAACUUCUUUUAUAAAGGAGUAAAGUGAGGCUCGUGUGCCUUUUUGUAUGUACUUUAUGAAUACGGAUCGGCUAACUCCGUUCCAGCAGCCGCGGUAAUACGGAGGAUCCGAGCGUUGUCCGGAUUUAUUGGGUUUAAAGGGAGCGUAGAUGGGUUGUUAAGUCAGUUGUGAAAGUUUGCGGCUCAACCGGAAAAUUGCAAUUGAUACUGGCAGGCUUGAGUACAGUAGAGGUAGGCGGAAUUCGUGGUGUAGCGGUGAAAUGCGUAGAUAUAACGAAGAACUCCGAUUGCGAAGGCAGCUUACUAAACUGCAACUGACAUUGAGGCUCGAAAGUGUGGGGAGCAAACAGGAUUAGAUACCCUGGUAGUC